AACCCUGUGAAGAAGUCAACACACCUAGUUAUCAUCUUAUAUACCUGUGAGAUUUAAUUUAAAGCUAAGGUAAAGGAUCAAUAGUGAUGAAUAUCUUGUGCAGAAAAUACAAAUAUAAAAAUGUAUAUCCCAUUAUGUUUAGUAUAGAAACAAAGUCUGUGAAUAAGUGUGCUUUGCAAGUAAUAGAGAUAUCGAGGCAUUCUACAUAAUAGACAGAUCAACAGAGAUACUUACAUCCUCAAGGUCAGGCAGUGCAGGUGAGCGCAAGAAGAAUCUAAGGUCUACCUGAGGAGUCCGGGCCAGGCCCACUGCUGUUCCUUGGUCUAUAACCUGGGCUGCUGUCUGGUACUGGUAGUCUGAGUUAUUGACAACAGAGACCACAGGCGACAGUUUGCCAUAAGCUGCACUGGCAGUUACAGGCCUGAAAUGUGUGUUGAAGACAAAACCACAGCUGGAAUGGAUGGUGGCAAUACUUGUCUGCCAGGUCAGCGGUGCCUACAUUGGACGUCUGUUUUUUUCAGUUGGAGAGAACAAGUAAAAACAUUGUAAGUUUGAUAAGAUAGAAAAGCAGCACAUCUACUCUUUCAAUGCACCAACAUAUUUUCUUACUUUCACAAAACAGGAUACAGUGAAUGAAAAUGAAGCUCUUCAUUUUACUCGUGCUUGAUCCCACAGUCAGCAUUGUUUUAUUCCCCUCCAAGCCAAAUCUGCAAGGUCAUCAUUACAGUCAAAGGGAAGGAUGCUAGUAGUAGUAUUGGUAUGCAUCUAAUGUAGUCCAGCCUCAUUUUCCCCAUCAGCUUUGCAGAGUUAA